AGUCAGCAUUAUAUGGGCCAGUACUUUUGUGAGGGCUGCCUGUCAGGUGUAAUCAAUCAGCAGCUUGAGCAUUUCUUUUAGCCUCAAUGAUCUGCCUUGUUGUAUGGAUUCACACUUUUAUCAUAGUCACCUUCUUAGAAAGCAUUAAAACACCUACAAAUUCUUAAAUGAGCUGAUUAUUUUUCACUUUUUUCACUAGGAUUUCUACAGAGGUUAAAGAAAACAAAAAACUCAUUUUUUCAGUAUUCCAAAAUCAUGGACUACUCCAAAGGCAUACUACUCUCAGUAUAUGUCUUAACUCUAUUAUUACUCACUAGUUGGCAAAGCUCUGGUGACCAUGAUAAGUUCUGCCCGGCAGAUUUUUCCUCUAGUAAGAUGUCAUAUUCUAGGCAACAAUCAGUUGAACGCAUUGCUUAUGCUCUUCAUGUUUCGAGACUCCACAACCUAAUUGGUGGGCUGCCUAUAGUCUGAAAAAUACGCAUUUCCUAGUAGAUAAAAGGUUUGAAGAGGAGAUCUUUUCCACAGUCAGACUCUCACUAGACAAAACAAGGGUUUUUGUAAACUGUGUCUUUAAAAACAAGUUUUGCUGAACUUGUCAGGCCUCUGAGCUCAAGCUAAGCCAUCAUAUCCCCUGUGACCUGCACGUGCACAUCCAGAUGGCCGGUUCGUGCCUUAACUGAUGACAUUCCACCACAAAAGAAAUGAAAAUGGCCUGUUCCUGCCUUAACUGAUGACAUUAUCUUGUGAAAUUCCUUCUCCUGGCUCAUCCUGGCUCAAAAGCUCCCCUACUGAGCAACUUGUGACCCCCACUCCUUCCCACCAGAGAACCCCCCUUUGACUGUAAUUUUCCUUUACCUACCCAAAUCUUAUAAAACGGCCCCACCCCUAUCUCCCUUCACUGACUCUCUUUUCAGACUCAGCCCGCCUGCACCCAGGUGAAAUAAACAGCCUUGUUGCUCACACAAAGCCUGUUUGGUGGUCUCUUUGCACAACGCACAUGAAAUUUGGUGCAGUGACUCAGAUUGGGGGACCUCCCUUGGGAGAUCAAUCCCCUGUCCUCCUGCUCUUUGCUCCAUGAAAAAGAUCCACUUACAACCUCAGGUCCUCAGACCAAC
rnacentral:lncRNA from 10 species